CGUCCCGGGUUUUUUUCCUGUACACACCGCCCGUCACACCAUGGGAGUCGAUUGCUCCAGAAGUCACCUCACCAAGAGGUGCCCAAGGAGUGGUCGGUAACUGGGGUG
rnacentral:rRNA from 1 species